GAUGAACGCUGGCGGCAUGCCUUACACAUGCAAGUCGAACGGUAACGCGGGGCAACCUGGCGACGAGUGGCGAACGGGUGAGUAAUACAUCGGAACGUGCCCAGUAGUGGGGGAUAGCCCGGCGAAAGCCGGAUUAAUACCGCAUACGACCUACGGGUGAAAGCGGGGGAUCGCAAGACCUCGCGCUAUUGGAGCGGCCGAUGUCAGAUUAGCUAGUUGGUGGGGUAAGAGCCUACCAAGGCGACGAUCUGUAGCUGGUCUGAGAGGACGACCAGCCACACUGGGACUGAGACACGGCCCAGACUCCUACGGGAGGCAGCAGUGGGGAAUUUUGGACAAUGGGGGCAACCCUGAUCCAGCCAUGCCGCGUGCGGGAAGAAGGCCUCGG
rnacentral:rRNA from 1 species